CCACACGAAAAAUGAAGCUUUAGGGUCGGGACUUUCAUGUUUGGUACACAGCAUUCGACACUAGAAAUUCUUCUCUAAUCCUGUAAAGUGUGGUCCAAUUUGUGCAUAUCAAACAUAAAGCUCGCCGAAUGAAUCAAAGGAAGAAGAUGUUAAUGCUAGGAAAACAUAAUUUGAUAGAUUCAUUUAUAGAACUCCCUGAUAACUGAUUGAAUCUUCUUACACUAUUUAGUCAUUCUUUGGUGAAUCCAAGAAAACCAUAGUGCUAGAAUGUUGAUGUUAAAAGUUUAUAUUGAUCCCAUCAGGCAAUAUCAUCAGGAUGGCUGCACAAAUGAACCCUAAGGAUCAAUUUUCCAAGCUACAUCCGGGCUUCCCUGUGAAAACGAGAAUCGCAAUAGUAGGAGGUGGUCCUAGUGGAUUAUCAGCUGCCUACGCGCUGUGUAAACUCGGUUAUAAUAAUGUAACCGUGCUGGAGAAACAUCACACAGUCAGUGGAAUGUGUUUAUCUGUUGAUAUAGAAGGAAAGAUUUAUGAUCUUGGUGGACAAGUCCUUGCAGCCAGUAGCUCUCCCACAAUCUUUCACUUGGCAAAUGAAGCUGGUUCGGAAUUGGAAGAAAUGGAUUCCCACAAACUUGCAUUAAUUGAUAGUUUCACAGGGAAGUAUGAGGACAUCCAGGUUGCAGAUGACUAUGUUUCUGCAGUCUCGCUCACAUUAGAUCUCCAGGUCAGUUUCUUUUGCUGUUAGUAGAUGAUCUGUCUCUUAUUCUCAGUACUCAGUUCACACAGAGAGAAGCUAAAAUCAUAAUGUUCGGUUCACAGGAUAAAGCGAAGACGUCAGGUCGAAUUGGAGUUCACGCCAUAAGUGACUUAGCUUAUGAUUCAACACCUGCAUUUCUUGAGGAUCAUGGAUUCAGUUCUGUUCCAAAAUCUGUAGCUUAUGGAUAUACAGCUUCCGGAUAUGGAUUUGUUCAAGAUAUGCCAUAUGCUUACAUUCAUGAAUUCACCAGAACAUCUAUGGCCGGUAAAAUUAGACGUUUCAAAGGUGGAUACAUGAGUAUGUGGCAAAAAAUUAGUGAAUCCCUCCCCAUAGAAGUCCUCUGCAACACAGAAGUAGUAGCAAUCAGGCGCAACUCAUCAGGUGUCAACAUUAAAGUCAAACAGAAUGACGGAAACUUGAUAACUAGGGAAUUCGAUAAAGUCAUAAUAUCUGGAUCAUUUCCCUUCAAGAAUGGGAGAACAUAUAGAUCACCGUCAUUGUUGGAAGAAGGUUUGAGAUUUUACUCAUUUUGCUGCUUCCAUCUAGCUUUAAACUGUGUUUAGUAGCUAAACAAUAAAUUUUAUCUUACAGAUGCUGAUGAUGAAAUCCUGGAUUUCAGUGAACUUGAAAAGGAAUUGUUUAGGAAAGUGCAGACUAUUGACUACUACACAACUGUCAUGAAGAUUAAGGGUCUGGAACAUCUGCCGGUCGGGUUCUUUUACUUUGGGGAGUUCAUGGAUGAUCCUGAAACUAUAGGAAAUCCGGUGGCUCUGCAGAAAUUCUAUUCUGAUACCAAUAUCUUCCUAUUCUGGUCAUAUGGCAACUCAGCCAAUGUCAGAGGACAAGAAGUCACUCAGCUAGCAAUUGAUGCAGUCAAAAGAAUGGGGGGAGAAAUUGAAAUGGUAAUUCUACAACAGAGAUUCAAAUAUUUCCCUCAUGUUGAAAGCCAAGGUAGAGUCCACAUCUUGAUGAGAUUCUGUUUUGCCUCCCAUAUUUACAGCUACUAAUUUCAUUCUACUUUAAUAUAGUUAUGAAAGGUGGGUUCUACGAGAAACUAGAAACUGAACUUCAAGGCCAGCAGAAUACUUACUACAUAGGUGGACUCAUGGCAUUUGAGCUUACGGAGAGGAAUUCAUCCUACGCUAUGGGGUUGGUUUGCAAGCACUUUGCAACUGAUGAAUUAAUUCCAAGGUUUCCUUAUGUAAAGGUACUUGAUACUGUCAAUUCUUAAAGAUCAAACUCAGAUUACAGAAUAAAUGCUUAUUUACUUACUUGACCUUCAUUUCUGUAGAGAUUGUUUACACUGAAGUCAGAGUGCCGGGAUAAGAUCCCUAGAGAGCUUGAUGAAUCUAAGGGAUUAGAAUUUCCAGAUCUAUCCAGCCUUGAUUGCUAUUUGAAAUACUGGGGAAAUCAUAACAUCAGUUGCAACAAAAUCCUUUAUAGAUGGAUAAAUGAUGAAGGAGAAGUGAUGGGCCAAAGAACUUUUGGAGAACUUCAUGCUAAUGCUGCUUGCAUUGCUGAGAAGCUAUUGUCUAGCAGAAAACCAGUCAUCAAUCCAGGUGACAGGGUCCUUCUUGUUCAUGUCCCAGGUCUGGAUUUUAUUGAUGCCUUUUUUGGGUGUUUAAGAGCCAGAGUAUUGCCAGUCCCAGCUCUUCCCCCUGAUCCACUUCAAAGAGGUGGACAAGCACUUUUGAAGAUAGAGAAUAUUGCAAAAUCAUGCAAGGCGGUGGCAAUUCUCUCCACCGUAGGUUAUCAAUUAGCUGUUAGAGCAGGCUCCGUGAAGAAUUUGAUAUCGUUGCCCAAUAAAAAUGGAAAGGGCUCGGGUCGCUGGCCUAAUCUUCCUUGGUUACACACUGAUUCUUGGGUGAAAAACUCCAAAGAUGCGCCUUCAGUAAGUAUAGAUUGUAAUUCAGUGCCACGUGCUGAUGAACUAUGCUUUCUCCAAUUCACAUCAGGAUCAACUGGAGACGCAAAAGGUGUUGUUAUAACUCAUAGUGGGCUAAUUCAUAAUGUGAAGCUAAUGCAAAGGAGAUACCAUAGCACAUCAAACACAGUACUUAUCAGCUGGCUCCCCCAAUACCAUGACAUGGGACUGAUUGGUGGGCUUUUCACAGCUCUGGUUAGUGGUGGAACUGCUAUCUUGUUCUCCCCGAUGACAUUCAUUAAGAACCCUCUCCUGUGGCUUGAAACUAUCAGCAAGUACAGGGGAACUCAUAGUGCAGGCCCCAACUUCUCUUUUGAACUUGUAGUACGAAGGUUGGAGGUUGAGAAGAAUAAGAUUCGGAAGUAUGACCUUUCCUCCAUGAUUUUUCUGAUGAUUGCUGCUGAACCAGUAAGGCAGAAAACUCUAAAAAGAUUCAUUGAGCUAACAAGUCCUUAUGGCCUUUCCCAAUAUGUGAUGGCUCCUGGCUAUGGAUUGGCAGAAAACUGUGUGUUUGUCAGUUGCGCUUAUGGGGAAGGAAAACCUAUUGUGGUGGAUUGGCAAGGAAGGGUAUGUUGUGGGUAUGUAAAUCCAAACGAUACAGAUGUAAACAUUAGAAUAGUGGAUCCAGAAACUGGUGAAGAGCAGAAAGAAUCUGGAAAGGAAGGAGAAAUAUGGAUUAGUAGUCCAAGUGCAGGAAUUGGGUACUGGGGCAGGGAGGAACUCAGUGAAAGCACUUUUAGGAAUAAGCUUGAGAAUCAUCCCGGUGCAAGCUACACAAGAACUGGGGAUCUAGGACGAAUAAUUAACGGGAAUUUGUUCAUUACUGGAAGAAUCAAGGAUCUUAUAAUAGUUGCAGGAAGAAAUAUCUAUUCGGCUGAUGUAGAGAAGACUGUUGAGAGCUCAUGUGAACUGCUGCGCCCUGGUUGCUGUGCUGUCAUUGGGGUUCCUGAGGAUAUAUUAUCGGCAAAAGGGAUACCAAUAUCAGAUACGUCUGAUCAGGUGGGGUUGGUAGUGAUUGCAGAAACUAGAGAUGGUAAACCAGCAAGUAAAGACGAUUUUGAGAAAAUAAAGGCCAAGGUUGCAGAAGAACACGGUGUGAAUUUGGCUUCUGUUAAGUUGAUUAAACCAAGAACUAUCAGCAAGACAACAUCUGGAAAAAUCAAAAGGUUUGAAUGCCUCAAACAAUUCACUGAUGAGACACUGAAUUUGGUACCAGAACCAAAGAUCCCAAAGAGAUUACUUUUACGGUCCAAUACUACAGGAACAUGUAGGGAUGGUCAUACUCCUCGAAAGCAUCUGAAGACAAAUCUACCUUCACCAGGUACAAAAUUAGGUGGCAGAGAAAUUGUGGAGUUUUUAAAGGAACUUAUCUCUGAGCAAACUGGUAUUCCAGUCAGUAAGAUCUCCACAACUGCAAACCUUACAUCUUAUGGCAUCGAUUCCAUAGGGGUGGUCAGAGCAGCUCAAAAGCUUUCGGAUUAUCUUGGGGUGCCAGUUGGGGCAGUUGAUAUUUUCACAGCAACCAGCAUUGAAGAUUUGGCUAGCUUCUCAGAAGAUAUUGUCACGAAAUCUCAGCCUCAAGACAUGAGAAUUUCUGCAUCUCUUCCAGAACCUGAGGUUAAUUUUUCUGAGUUACUGACUGAAGUUUCCUUAUCUCACCAAUUGGGUAUCAUGUCAUUGCAAUUUCUUGCCCUCAUAUAUGUCUCCAUCUUGCUGAUCCUUCCUGCAUAUUUAUCAAUAUCUGUAUUUCUGAAGAUGAUUUCUGCCUCUCAUAAUUUGAUAAAUGGAACUCCAUGGGCACCUUACAUGCUUUCCCUGGCAUUUGCACCUCUUGCAUGGAUCCUCUGCAUAUUUUCUACAUGCAGUUGUAUUGCUCUUUUCGGGAAUUCAUUCCUUCAACCGAACUAUGCCUUAAUUCCUGAAAUUUCCAUAUGGUCAUUGGAUUACGUCAAGUGGUGGACACUAUACAAAGCUCAAGAGGUUUCAUCAAAAGUUCUGGCCGUGCAUUUGAAAGGAACAGUGUUACUGAAUUACUGGUUUCAGAUGUUUGGAGCUAAGAUAGGAUCAUGUGUUGUACUUGAUACUGUUGAUAUCACUGAUCCAGCUCUAGUUUCUAUUGGAGAUGGAGUGGUAAUUGCAGAGGGAGUAUUAAUCCAAGGCCAUGAAAUGAGGAAUGGAAUCUUGAGCUUCCAUCCAAUUAGAAUUGGAAAAAGUUCUUCAAUUGCUCCUUAUGCUGCAAUCCAAAGAGGAAGCGUGCUGGGAGAAGGAACUGAAGUACCUGCUUUGCAAAUCACUGAUGAAGGAAAACCCAUUUCAAAAUCCAAGGCUAAUAACAUUCAGAAGGUAAACUCUAAUUGUCCCUGUCACAUAUGCAAUACCCAGUCAUUAAAGAUAUCUUUCAUUCUAAGAAUUUAAAUGUCUAGUUCCAUAUCAAAUACAUACACCACAAUGUAUUUCUUCUUCCUAUGACUAUAAAAUAACCUUGUCAAACAACUCACCCUCGGUCUUUUUUCAUCUGGGUGCAUUAUCCUAUUAGCAAUGAAAAAUUUCUAUAAUAAUUUGAAGCACAACAUUUGAUUAUCAAUGGGAAAAAUAGUUUAACAAUCUUAAGAUUGAAAUUGAUUACCAGUUACUUUACUCCACUGUGGGUGACAGGUUAUGGAACUUUCGAAGGUGAUAGGUGACACUCAAUAUCAGACUAUUCACCAUCUCAUGGGUGUCUAUCUUGUUGGAUUCAUAAGCAGUCUCUCGGCAGCCAUCUUUUACUGCAUCUAUUUGCUGCUGACUCAAAAGUCUCCUACCAUUGAACACUUCAAUUUUUUGUGUGUAUUUGGAGCUUUCCACUGGCUCCCUUUCACUAUCUUUGCAUAUGUCACCAUGAUUGGAUCCACAUCUUUAGGUCCAUUGAGCUUUGCCAUGUCAGUUGCCACUGCAUACUUAGCUCACGGCUUGAUACUCAGUUUGAUUACCUGCUUGAUGAACCAUUCCAUGUCCAGAAAUCAAGGAACAAAACAAACAUACCUGAGAAUGUGGCUUCGUCACAGAAUUAACAUAUCGUGCCAUCUUAGAUUUACAAAGCUCCUUUCAGGAACUGAAGCGUUUUGCAUAUACCUGAGGCUACUGGGUGCCAAAGUCGGAAAGUAUUGUUCCAUUAGAGCCAUUAACCCUGUUUUAGAACCCAAACUGGUAUCAAUCGGUAAUGGUGUCCAUUUAGGUGACUUCAGCAGGAUUAUCACUGGUUUCUAUUCCUCCGAUGGUUUCAGAAGUGCAAAAGUUGAGGUACGGGAUAAUGUAGUACUUGGGAGCCAGAGCCUUGUCCUCCCUGGUUCUAUUAUUCAGGAGGAUGUAAUUAUUGGAGCGCUUUCAGUUGCUCCAGUCAAUUCAGUGCUCCAACAUGGUGGUGUCUAUAUUGGAUCUCAAAGUCCUAUCAUGAUAAAGAACACAAUGCAUGAGUUGGAUGAGCGUAUAGAAGAAAUGGACAUAAAGUAUAAGAAGAUUGUCGGAAAUCUGGCUGCGAAUUUGGCUGCAACAACUCUUAAGGUUAGAACAAGAUAUUUCCAUCGAAUUGGAGUGAGUGCAAAGGGAGUACUAAAAAUAUAUGACAACAUUGAAGGGUUUCCUGAUCACAAUAUUUUCCAGCCUGGGCAGAGUUACCCUGUUAUAGUUCGACACAGCAAUAGCUUGAGUGCCGAUGAUGAUGCAAGGAUUGAUGCUCGUGGAGCAGCCAUAAGAAUAUUUUCACAUAAAUCAGAUCACGAAUCCCCACUCCUGGACUUGACUCUGAAAACAGGCAAGGCAUUUUAUGCCCGUACAAUUUCUGAUUUUGCAACGUGGCUUGUGUGUGGGCUACCAGCAAGAGAAGAACAUGUGAAGCGUGCCCCUCAUAUCCGAGAUGCAGUGUGGAUGUCCCUUCGCCAUGCAAACUCAUUUCCCGAACUUCAUUAUUAUUCAAAUAUAUGCAGACUCUUCAGAUUCACUGAUGGACAGGAGAUGUAUGUGAAAUUCAAGCUGCGACCUUCUGAUGAGACAAUUAGUGAAGACUCCGGUAAGGUUGAGCCCAUUGGAAUCCUUCCUCCAGAAACAGGUGCAAUUCCAAGGGACAAUAACGACAGGCGUCCUCUGCUUUUCCUUGCCGAAGAUUUUCAGACACGCGUGAGUUCCCCAGGCGGGGUUCGCUAUGUUUUCCAGCUUCAGUUCCGGCCUGUACCUCGUGAUGAAGGCACACAAGAUGUUGCACUCGAUUGCACCAAACCAUGGGAUGAGGAUGAGUUCCCAUUUGUAGACUUUGGGGAGAUUACCAUCAAUCAGAACAUGACAAAAGAACAAUCAGAGGAGCUGGAAUUUAAUCCCUUUCUGCAAUGCCAUGAGGUUGAUGUUAUCCGGGCAACAUCCGCCUCCCAAAGUGCAUCAAUUGACCAUGGUCGUUCAUUGAUAUAUGACAUUUGCCAGCAUUUGAGAAAUAACGAGCCACUUCCACAGGCCUGGAGAGCAUUCAUAGAGCAAUCAGAUGUCAAAGUAGACCUCUCAAGCUGCCCGGUUGCAGCAAUGUCAAAGAGAGGAAAUUCUAGUGAAGUGACUCUAGCAAGGACUUGGUUUCAAACUUCAUGGGCCAUCUACAUGCAACCCUUGCUUCAGACAUUUUUGCCUUACUUCCUCAUGGCAUAUGUAAUUUCUGGUCCUCUAAAUUGGAUACUAUCUGCUAAGGAGACCAUGAAAUAUCCACUGCAGUGGUUGCUUCCUUUCUUUUGGGUUUUAUCAGGCAUAUGGGCAGCACUGGCUUGUGUUGUAGCAAAAUGGAUUUUGGUUGGAAAGAAGAAAGAUGGUGGAACAGCACUUAUCUGGAGCAAAUCAAUUUUUAUGGAUACAGUAUGGCAAGCAUUUAAGACCUUGGUGGCGGACUAUUUCAUGGAUAUGACUGGUGGAUCAAUCUUCUUCGUGCUUUGGAUGAAACUCAUGGGUUCGGAUAUUAACUUAAGUGAAGGUGUUUAUGUAGAUAGCAUGGGAGCUGUCUUGAAUCCCGAAAUGGUAGAAAUAGAGAGAGGUGGAUGCGUAGGGAGAGAAGCUUUGCUUUUUGGACACAUAUAUGAAGGAGAAGGAGGGAAAGUCAAGUUUGGGAAGAUUAGAGUUGGAGAAGGUGGAUUUGUAGGGAGUAGAGCUGUUGCUAUGCCUGGAGUUAUAGUAGAGGAUGGUGGUAGUCUUAAUGCUCUAUCCCUUGCCAUGAAAGAAGAAGUUGUAAGAUCAAAGUCACACAAUUGAUGACUUCUCUUUUACAUAGAGAAGUUGAGCUGGUACUGGUCUAGCGAAUAAAUUAUCAGCCUUCGAAUACUAAUCAAUAAUAAUCUUUAUAGGAAUUUCUCUCUGUGUACAUAUGUGACAGUCCAAGUGUGCAGGUGCCCAUGCCAGUGCAUGUGCAGGCGUGUUUAGAUCCAACAAAAUAGAACACAAUUACAACGAAAAUCCUCCCUUUACAAUGUUGGUGGGAUCCUCCAAAGUGGACUUGAGAAUACAUGUAAACGAAAUAACAGCUAGAAAAUAGUAGACCGGAGCUAAAUUACAAUCUGCUUCACACCACAUUAUAAAUAUUGCUUUCCUUAAGACAUUAUUUGCCCCUAUUAAACCAUGAUGCACUCGAGAAUGAAAAUACACCAUCAAGAUUCAAUGAAGCCAUUAAUACGUGCAUGCAUUUUGCACACACGAAGACAACCCUAAUACCAAAGAAUAACAAAUUAUAUACUCGAAGUUCAUACUAUAAUCAUCAACUCUUUCUGACUCUUCUUUUUUACCCUCCACCAUAUGAACUAUUGUGGAUUGAUCUAUGUAUUCCUCAGAAUUAUUCUUUCUGAAUUCCUCCUCUAUACGGAGCUAGCUACCCUAAUCCUCAAUGGAUAUGUUAUCUUUCUGGUGCUUAAGACUCUUCUUAUAACGAAGAGUGUUUAUGAUGAUGAAAGAAACGACAAAUGAUUCAUCCAUAUUCAUAAUAUGUUGUUGAAACUGAUUACACACGUGCACAAUUUCAUGAAAUUGCUACAUUCCUUUCUACGAUCUACCAUCCUUUAUAGAUGAAUUUAGAGGCUAGAAGCUUCUUACCUGUGGCAUCUUCCGACAUAUAUUUGGCAUCGGAUACAUCUAAUAUCUCCUUUGCAGUUUCUUGCUAUGACAUUCGUCAUCAGAGUAUCAAACAUUGCGUUGCAAUUGUGCCCUU
rnacentral:lncRNA from 1 species